UACGGAGGGAGCUAGCGUUGUUCGGAAUUACUGGGCGUAAAGCGCGCGUAGGCGGCGCGGUAUGUCGUGCGUGAAAAUCUCCCGGCCUUAACUGGGAGGGGCCGUGCGAAACUGCCGGGGCUUGAGGUCAGAAAGGGGAAAGUGGAAUUCCGGGUGUAGUGGUGGAAUACGUAGAUAUCCGGAGGAACACCAGCGGCGAAGGCGCUUU
rnacentral:rRNA from 1 species